AUAAGAAUUAAGUACUGGGUGAUUCUGCCGUCACUUGUGCGACAUUUACACUGUGAUUCUAUAGUUAUUCCCGACUUAAAGCUUAGACAAAAAUGAAUGCAUUACAAAUUAAUACAUUGUGGUAAAAUGUUUGGCUUUUAAUAUUCAUGUACAUUUUAUAUGUUGGUGAUAUUAGCCAAAUCAUAUCUCAAUGUAAAGUUUAGAACUUCAAAAUAGAAAUAAUUUCUUUUGCCGACAAUUUUCAAGGAAAAAGCUUAAACAUGGUGAACAUGAAUAUCAAAAAACUGACUUAUGAAAUAUCUCGGGUGACGUAGCUAAUUCUAUUUUCCCGAUGACGUGUAUUUAACGAGGACCAUGUUGUGAAAUGACCAAUGUUCCAUGACUUAAAGAAAGAGUUUACAGCCAAUAAACACACUGGUGAGAAGGUGUACUAUGUUGGUCAACAUGAUUAUAAUGUGUUUAAUGUUCAAAACCAACAACUGUUCUUACUGUGAGAACUUCUCAUCUACUAAGAAAGUGAAACUAUUACAGGUCAGUACUUGUACAUCAAACUUUAAACUUUAAACAAGACUUUGUUGAAUGCUUAUUUUUAUGUGAAAAUCUUCCACCGUUCGGCGUACAUGUUUUUCCUUAACGAAUGAAAUAUGCAAUGAUUUCAUCGUCU